ACAGGGGUUGCUGACCAGGUGGAAGAUGAUGGGAGCCUCAGAAGGUGUCGUGGGACAGGGUCAGGGAGAGGGCUCUAUGCGGCCAGGAUCUGGAUGCAGAUUGUUGAGACUGAAAUUUGGCUCAGAUCCCUUCUAGUUGUGUCUGUUUAUCUUCAGUUUCCUUGUCUAUAAAAUGGGGAGAGAUUGUGUGUCCCCGGCAUCACUGGACUGUUAAUAGCUAUUGCAUUUAUAGCAUUUAUCCCAGAACCUGAAACACAGUAAAUGCUCAGUAAGUGUUAUUAUUUGCCCCAAACUGUCUUAGUGCUUUCCCCAAGAGCUUUGUGUUGUUUGUACUAUGAGGAAUAAUGAGGGUGGUGUGGGAGUCGGCCUCUGUGUCUGCAGAGAGGACCACAGGCCACAGGAAUAGAGACAGGUAGAUAGGAUCAAGGUGACAGGAACAGAUGUUCAGAGCAAGAGAUGAAGACGGCAUCAUCAACCCAGACAAGCCAGUUGGAGGCAUCUGUCCACCCAUGUGGUUCCAGACACGUUCAUGUGGCCACCAUGACCCCGUCGGCAUCACAGGGGUAACCAAGGUGAUCCUCCCUCUCUUCCUGUGUCCACUGGGGAUGGUAGAGACCAGCUUAAUGCUUUGAGAUCAGAUCCAUCACGAAAUCCGUAUGUCCUGAGACCUCCUGAAUCUUAAGGUGGGAGAGACUUCUGAUGACCCUCUGGGUUCCAGUUCCCCAAUCGUGGCUUUCCCGACUGACCUUGGCUUGAAGUGGGUGGUCUGUGUGGCCUAGUGAAAGCUGAGAUGAUGAGGCCCUGGUGCUCACAACUGGUUCUUUGUGCGGCCUUUGAUCUGGCACUUUUUAGUUCCAGUCCUCUUUCAUCACAUACAAAUGAGUUUUACAAAAAUAACUUUAUUGAGGUAUAAUUUACAUACAAGGAAAUGCACCCGUUUAAAGCACACAUUUCAAUGUGUUUUGACAAAGGUAUACACCUGUGUAACCAUUGCCACAAUCAGGAUGUAGAACAUUUUCAUCGUUCUAAAAUGUUCCCCUGUAUUCCCUCCCAGCCAAUCCCCUCUCAGCCCCAGUCCCAGCCCCAGUCCCAGGAAACCACUGACCUGCUUUCUCAGAAGUAGAUUGGAUUCUUUUUUUUUUUUAAUGUUCCAUAUAUAUGGAAGCUUCUGUGUUCAGCUUUUUUUUUUUUUUUUUUUUUUUUGAGACAAGAUCUCGCUCUGCUGUUUGGGCUGCAGUGCAGUGGAGCCAUCUCGGCUCACUGCAACCUCCGCCUGCUGGGUUCAAGUGAUUCUCCUGCCUCAGUCUCCCGAGUAGCUGGGAUUACAGGUGUGCACCACCACACCCGGCUGAUUUUUAUAUUUUUAGUAGAGAUGGGGCUUUGCCGUGUUGGCCAGGCUGGUCUCGAACUCCUGACCUCGAGUGGUCGCCUCGGCCUCCCAAAGUGCUGGGACUAUAGGUGUGAGCCACUGCGCCCAGCUGAGGCUCAUACUUCCUGUUGCAUGUCU
rnacentral:lncRNA from 1 species